rnacentral:rRNA from 1 species
CGCCUCUUGGUUUUAUAUAAGAGGUCCAGCCUGCCCAGUGACUUAGUUCAACGGCCGCGGUAUCCUAACCGUGCGAAGGUAGCGUAAUCACUUGUUCUUUAAAUAAGGACUAGUAUGAAUGGCACCACGAGGGCUAUACUGUCUCCUUUCUCCAAUUAAUGAAACUGAUCUCCCCGUGAAGAAGCGGGGAUUAAAAUAUAAGACGAGAAGACCCUAUGGAGCUUCAAACAAAAAUAGCACUAGCCCUCCCCGUGCCUCAAAACAUAGUAGCUAGACAGGCUAGAAUGACUAUUAGUUUUAGGUUGGGGUGACCGCGGAGCAUAAAUCAACCUCCACAUUGAACGGAACCUUCCUUAGCCAAAAGCUACGACUUUAAGCAACAUUAAACUGACAUUAAUUGACCCAAUAUUUUGAUCAACGAACCAAGUUACCCUAGGGAUAACAGCGCAAUCCAUUUCAAGAGCUCCUAUCGACAAAUGGGUUUACGACCUCGAUGUUGGAUCAGGGUAUCCCGGUGGUGCAGCCGCUACUAAAGGUUCGUUUGUUCAACGAUUAAAACCCUA